rnacentral:rRNA from 1 species
GCUUGCUUCUGCUGGAUUAGUGGCGAACGGGUGAGUAACACGUGAGUAACCCGCCCUUGACUCUGGGAUAAGCGUUGGAAACGACGUCUAAUACCGGAUACGAGCUAGGACCGCAUGGUCACUAGUUGGAAAGAAUUUUGGUCAAGGAUGGACUCGCGGCCUAUCAGCUAGUUGGUGAGGUAACGGCCCACCAAGGCGACGACGGGUAUCCNGCCUGAGAGGGUGACCGGCCACACUGGGACUGAGACACGGCCCAGACUCCUACGGGAGGCAGCAGUGGGGAAUAUUGCACAAUGGGCGAAAGCCUGAUGCAGCAACGCCGCGUGAGGGACGACGGCCUUCGGGUUGUAAACCUCUUUUAGCAGGGAAGAAGCGAAAGUGACGGUACCUGCAGAAAAAGCACCGGCUAACUACGUGCCAGCAGCCGCGGUAAUACGUAGGGUGCAAGCGUUGUCCGGAAUUAUUGGGCGUAAAGAGCUCGUAGGCGGUUUGUCGCGUCUGCUGUGAAAAUCCGAGGCUCAACCUCGGACCUGCAGUGGGUACGGGCAAACUAGAGUGCGGUAGGGGAGAUUGGAAUUCCUGGUGUAGCGGUGGAAUGCGCAGAUAUCAGGAGGAACACCAAUGGCGAAGGCAGAUCUCUGGGCCGUAACUGACGCUGAGGAGCGAAAGCGUGGGGAGCGAACAGGAUUAGAUACCCUGGUAGUCCACGCCGUAAACGGUGGGAACUAGAUGUGGGGUCCGUUCCAC